rfam:Populus trichocarpa scaffold_13_contig_324, whole genome shotgun sequence.
UAGCCUAUUUUGGUCAAAUCCCCAUGUAGUAGUGUCAGAUCCUUACCUGAAUGCUCAAAACCUUUCGUUUCUACAAGUUCUAUUGAUGUGUUAUUUGACCUUAAUCUUACC